UGGGAUUAAUUGGAGGAAGUUUGGCGCAUCAAAUGACGGGUUAAACAUGGUUUAAGGGCUUAAAAAGGAGGUUUAGGACUGAUUUGCGAUAAACCAGAGACCUAUUUGUGAAUACUUUUGGAGGUGGAGGGGCUUAUCCGCGAAUAGGUUUAUGAGAGUGGUGGAAGGACUAUUUCGCGAAUAGUGGAUUUCAGGAGGUUAGAUCAAAAUUUGGCCUUCUUCUUCCUCUUGUGCGCACAGUACAUAGGGAGAAAGGGGGAGGGGCACAGCCAGCCUAGGGGCGGUGGCCUAGGCUCGCCGGCGGCGAGGGGAGGCGGCGGGAGAAGGCGGAGGGGUUCGUGGAGGCCCCAUUUUGCUACUCACCUUGGGGAUUUGGGUGGGGAAUGGGGUGCGGCCGAUGGUGGAUCUUGGCGGCGGCGGUGGCGG
rnacentral:lncRNA from 1 species